rnacentral:rRNA from 1 species
AUUGAACGCUGGCGGCAGGCCUAACACAUGCAAGUCGAGCGGAUGAAGGGAGCUUGCUCCUGGAUUCAGCGGCGGACGGGUGAGUAAUGCCUAGGAAUCUGCCUGGUAGUGGGGGAUAACGUCCGGAAACGGGCGCUAAUACCGCAUACGUCCUGUGGGAGAAAGUGGGGGAUCUUCGGACCUCACGCUAUCAGAUGAGCCUAGGUCGGAUUAGCUAGUUGGUGGGGUAAAGGCCUACCAAGGCGACGAUCCGUAACUGGUCUGAGAGGAUGAUCAGUCACACUGGAACUGAGACACGGUCCAGACUCCUACGGGGGGCAGCAGUGGGGAAUAUUGGACGAGGGGCGAAAGCCUGAUCCAGCCAUGCCGCGUGUAUGAAGAAGGUCUUCGGAUGGUAGAACACUGUAAGUUGGAAGGAAGGGCAGUAAGUUAAUACCUUACUGUUUUGACGUUACCAGCAGAAUAAGCACCGGCUAACUUCGUG